AUUGAACGCUGGCGGCAGGCUUAAGACAUGCAAGUCGAACGGUAACGACACUGGCUUGCUAGUGGUCGACGAGUGGCGGACGGGUGAGUAACGCGUAGGAAUCUACCUAGUAGUGGGGGAUAGCCAAGGGAAACUUUGGGUAAUACCGCAUACGAUCUAAGGAUGAAAGGGGGCCUCUCUUUGAAGCUCUCGCUAUUAGAUGAGCCUGCGUAAGAUUAGCUUGUUGGUGGGGUAAUGGCCCACCAAGGCGACGAUCUUUAGCUGGUCUGAGAGGAUGAUCAGUCACACUGGAACUGAGACACGGUCCAGACUCCUACGGGAGGCAGCAGUCGGGAAUAUUGGACAAUGGGGGAAACCCUGAUCCAGCCAUGCCGCGUGUGUGAAGAAGGCCCUAGGGUUGUAAAGCACUUUUAGUAGUGAGAAAGGCUCAGUAGUUAAUACCUACUGGGAU
rnacentral:rRNA from 1 species